GAGGUGAUGAUCUGACUUAGCAGUGUUUAUGGCGGUGGCUGCACUUCUCAGAAAGGAGUGAUGCACUAUGUUCAUCCUAGGAAAGGGAUUUCCGCCAUGACUGUGUAUCAGGCGUUGACAUUGGCGAUAGCCUUUGCCACCUUGAUCAUCACCAUUGAUCGACA
rnacentral:sRNA from 1 species